CGGACGGGUGAGUAACGCGUGAGAACCUGCCUCUUGGCCGGGGACAACAGUUGGAAACGGCUGCCAAUCCCGGAUGAGCCGAAAGGUAAAAGAUUAAUCGCCAAGAGAGGGGCUUGCGUCUGAUUAGCUAGUUGGUAGUGUAAGAGACUACCAAGGCGACGAUCAGUAGCUGGUCUGAGAGGAUGAUCAGCCACACUGGGACUGAGACACGGCCCAGACUCCUACGGGAGGCAGCAGUGGGGAAUUUUCCGCAAUGGGCGAAAGCCUGACGGAGCAAGACCGCGUGGGGGAGGAAGGUUCUUGGAUUGUCAACCCCUUUUCUCAGGGAAGAAGAAAGUGACGGUACCUGAGGAAGAAGCAUCGGCUAACUCCGUGCCAGCAGCCGCGGUAAUACGGAGGAUGCAAGCGUUAUCCGGAAUGAUUGGGCGUAAAGAGUCCGUAGGUGGCCCUUCAAGUCUGCUGUUAAAGAGCGAGGCUUAACUUCGGAAAAGCAGUGGAAACUGGAGAGCUAGAGUGUAGUAGGGGCAGAGGGAAUUCCUGGUGUAGCGGUGAAAUGCGUAGAGAUCAGGAAGAACACCGGUGGCGAAAGCGCUCUGCUGGGCUACAACUGACACUGAGGGACGAAAGCUAGGGGAGUGAAUGGGAUUAGAUACCCCAGUAGUC
rnacentral:rRNA from 1 species